rnacentral:rRNA from 1 species
UGCAGUCGAGCGGAUGAAGGUAGCUUGCUACUGGAUUCAGCGGCGGACGGGUGAGUAAUGCUUAGGAAUCUGCCUAUUAGUGGGGGACAACGUUCCGAAAGGGGCGCUAAUACCGCAUACGUCCUACGGGAGAAAGCAGGGGACCUUUGGGCCUUGCGCUAAUAGAUGAGCCUAAGUCGGAUUAGCUAGUUGGUAGGGUAAAGGCCUACCAAGGCGACGAUCUGUAGCGGGUCUGAGAGGAUGAUCCGCCACACUGGGACUGAGACACGGCCCAGACUCCUACGGGAGGCAGCAGUGGGGAAUAUUGGACAAUGGGGGGAACCCUGAUCCAGCCAUGCCGCGUGUGUGAAGAAGGCCUUUUGGUUGUAAAGCACUUUAAGCGAGGAGGAGGCUACCUAGAUUAAUACUUUAGGAUAGUGGACGUUACUCGCAGAAUAAGCACCGGCUAACUCUGUGCCAGCAGCCGCGGUAAUACAGAGGGUGCGAGCGUUAAUCGGAUUUACUGGGCGUAAAGCGUGCGUAGGCGGCCAAUUAAGUCAAAUGUGAAAUCCCCGAGCUUAACUUGGGAAUUGCAUUCGAUACUGGUUGGCUAGAGUAUGGGAGAGGAUGGUAGAAUUCCAGGUGUAGCGGUGAAAUGCGUAGAGAUCUGGAGGAAUACCGAUGGCGAAGGCAGCCAUCUGGCCUAAUACUGACGCUGAGGUACGAAAGCAUGGGGAGCAAACAGGAUUAGAUACCCUGGUAGUCCAUGCCGUAAACGAUGUCUACUAGCCGUUGGGGCCCUUGAGGCUUUAGUGGCGCAGCUAACGCGAUAAGUAGACCGCCUGGGGAGUACGGUCGCAAGACUAAAACUCAAAUGAAUUGACG